rnacentral:rRNA from 1 species
GAUGAACGCUAGCGGCAGGCCUAACACAUGCAAGUCGAGGGAGAAGCCCUUUCGGGGGCAGAAACCGGCGCACGGGUGCGUAACGCGUAUGCAACCUACCUUUCACAGGGGGAUAGCCCGAAGAAAUUUGGAUUAAUACCCCAUAAUAUUAUUGGAUGGCAUCAUUUGAUAAUUAAAACUGCGGUGGUGAAAGAUGGGCAUGCGUCCUAUUAGCUAGUUGGAGUGGUAACGGCACCCCAAGGCUACGUUAGGUAGGGGUCCUGAGAGGGAGAUCCCCCACACUGGUACUGAGACAGGGACCAGACUCCUACGGGAGGCAGCAGUGAGGAAUAUUGGUCAAUGGUCGGAAGACUGAACCAGCCAUGCCGCGUGCAGGAAGAAUGCCUUAUGGGUUGUAAACUGCUUUUAUAUGGGAAGAAUAAGGCGUACGUGUACGUUGAUGACGGUACCAUAUGAAUAAGCAUCGGCUAACUCCGUG